CCUACGGGAGGCAGCAGUGGGGAAUAUUGGUCAAUGGACGGAAGUCUGAACCAGCCAUGCCGCGUGCUGGAAGACGGCUCUAUGAGUUGUAAACUGCUUUUGUACAAGGGUAAACCUGAAUACGUGUAUUCAGCUGACAGUCCUGUACGAUUCCGGCUCGGCUAACUCAGUGCCAGCAGCCGCGGUAAUACGGAGGAUCAAAGCGUUAUCCGGAUUUAUUGGGUUGAAAGGGUGCGUAGGCGGAUUGAUAAGUUAGAGGUGAAAUGUCCGCGCUUAACUCGGGAACUGCCUCUCAUACUGUGGAUCGAGAGAGUAGAUGCGGUAGGCGGAAUGUAUGGUGUAGCGGUGAAAUGCUUAGAGAUCAGAAAGAACACCGAUGGCGAAGGCAGCUUACCAAUCUAUAUCUGACGUUGAGGCACGAAAGCGUGGGGAGCAAACAGGAUUAGAUACCCUUGUAGUC
rnacentral:rRNA from 1 species